UACUACUGCAUGGUCGACGGUGCUGCC
rnacentral:sRNA from 1 species